CUGGCGGCGUGCCUAUACAUGCAGUCGAGCGAAGAGAUGGGAGCUUGCUCCCUGAUCUUAGCGGCGGACGGGUGAGUAACACGUGGGCAACCUGCCCUGCAGACUGGGAUAACUCCGGGAAACCGGAGCUAAUACCGGGUAAUACAUCGCACCGCAUGGUGCAAUGUUGAAAGUUGGCCUUUGGCUAACACUGCAGGAUGGGCCCGCGGCGCAUUAGCUAGUUGGUAAGGUAACGGCUUACCAAGGCGACGAUGCGUAGCCGACCUGAGAGGGUGAUCGGCCACACUGGGACUGAGACACGGCCCAGACUCCUACGGGAGGCAGCAGUAGGGAAUCUUCCGCAAUGGACGAAAGUCUGACGGAGCAACGCCGCGUGAGUGACGAAGGCCUUCGGGUCGUAAAGCUCUGUUGUUAGGGAAGAACAAGUACCGUUCGAAUAGGGCGGUACCUUGACGGUACCUAACCAGAAAGCCACGGCUAACUACGUGCCAGCAGCCGCGGUAAUACGUAGGUGGCAAGCGUUGUCCGGAAUUAUUGGGCGUAAAGCGCGCGCAGGCGGUCUUUUAAGUCUGAUGUGAAAGCCCACGGCUCAACCGUGGAGGGUCAUUGGAAACUGGAGGACUUGAGUGCAGAAGAGGAGAGUGGAAUUCCACGUGUAGCGGUGAAAUGCGUAGAUAUGUGGAGGAACACCAGUGGCGAAGGCGGCUCUCUGGUCUGUAACUGACGCUGAGGCGCGAAAGCGUGGGGAGCAAACAGGAUUAGAUACCCUGGUAGUCCACGCCGUAAACGAUGAGUGCUAGGUGUUGGGGGGUUCCACCCUCAGUGCUGAAGUUAACACAUUAAGCACUCCGCCUGGGGAGUACGACCGCAAGGUUGAAACUCAAAGGAAUUGACGGGGGCCCGCACAAGCAGUGGGAG
rnacentral:rRNA from 2 species